UACGUAGGGUGCGAGCGUUGUCCGGAAUUACUGGGCGUAAAGAGCUCGUAGGUGGUUUGUCGCGUUGUUCGUGAAAACUCACAGCUCAACUGUGGGCGUGCGGGCGAUACGGGCAGACUGGAGUACUGCAGGGGAGACUGGAAUUCCUGGUGUAGCGGUGGAAUGCGCAGAUAUCAGGAGGAACACCGGUGGCGAAGGCGGGUCUCUGGGCCGUAACUGACGCUGAGGAGCGAAAGCCAUGGGGGAGCGAACAGG
rnacentral:rRNA from 1 species